rnacentral:rRNA from 1 species
GACGAACGCUGGCGGCGUGCCUAAUACAUGCAAGUCGAGCGAAGCGGAGGCUGGGGGAGUAACGCGUGGGUAACCUGACCUUAAGUCUGGGAUACCAUUUGGAAACAGAUGCUAAUACCGGAUACUAAAGGCUGGAUCUGCGAUGCAUUAGCUAGUGGGUAAGGUAACGGGUUACCAAGGCGAUGAUGCAGAGCCGGGUGGAGAGACUGAUCGGCCACAUGGGGACUGAGACACGGCCCAAACUCCUAGGGGAGGCAGCAGUAGGGAAUCUUCCACAAUGGACGAAAGUCUGAUGGAGCAACGCCGCGUGAGUGAAUAAGGUUUUCGGAUCUUAAAGCUCUGUUGUUGGUUAAGCGGUAAUCAACCAGAAAGUCACGGCUAACUACGUGCCAGCAGCCGCGGUAAUAC